rnacentral:rRNA from 1 species
AGAUGGCGACCGGCGCACGGGUGAGUAACACGUAUCCAACCUGCCGAUAACUCGGGGAUAGCCUUUCGAAGGAAAGAUUAAUACCCGAUGGCAUAAUUAGACCGCAUGGUCUUAUUAUUAAAGAAUUUCGGUUAUCGAUGGGGAUGCGUUCCAUUAGGCAGUUGGUGAGGUAACGGCUCACCAAACCUUCGAUGGAUAGGGGUUCUGAGAGGAAGGUCCCCCACAUUGGAACUGAGACACGGUCCAA